AAAAAAUCAUACACCAAAUCAACGUUGGUGGGUUGAGUGGCCUUGGCGAUGUGACGGGGUCUCCAAGGGCAAACCAGGACGUGCAGGGCUCAUGGAAUCGUUCGAGAUGAGCAAAGGCACUGGGUGUCGGGUUUUGCAUAGGGUGGUCUACGGCCAAUUUUUGCGGAAUUGUGGGGCAUAUUUAUGGGGCUGCAGCAUGUCUAGUCGCUUGGUCAUUGCAGAGUAAUCCUCGAGUUUGAUUCCUCCCUCGCUCAGAGUGCUGUCAUAGGAUCUUCUCCCGGUUCUCUUCAGAUGGCUUUGUUAGUCAGAGCCAUCAAGGAACUCCUCUUAAGAGAUUGAGCGGUUCGCGCCUAACACACAUAUCGUGAAGACAACUCUUAUGAGGAUUGAUUAGCCAAUUGAUCUCUCAUUCUACCUCUUGGCUGCCACUUCCUUAGCUCCCUGCCGAUCUGCAAUGGCACGACUCUUCUUGGUUAUGUAGUUGAGACUUCCAUAUCCCGUCUUUAUCCCACUUAGUUUUUCCUUGUUGUAUCCAGUAGCAGAGUCACGCGGACUCCAAGGGGCAAUUGCCCAACUGAAGUUUCAGUUUUUUUUUUACCCUAAAAUUAUAUUUAUAUAAGAUUUUUUUUAUGUAAAA